GGGCUGGCUUUAGCCCAGGGGUUCCUUCGCGUCCGGCUUCCCAACUGCCUGGGCCAAAUGGUCCAGUGGUUUGAGACCCACAGGCGCCCUCCAGUCCUUUA
ensembl:misc_RNA Vault Vault RNA